CAUUUUUGAUUGGACGAGAUUUCUGGUAGAAAAGUUGUUUACAUACAGACAGAGAAAAAAGCACACAUAGUAAAAUCAAUACAUUCUUUACUCUGAUCGGAAUCUAAGAUAUAAUAAUAUAGUCAAGUUAAACAACCUCCGAGGUGUGCCCGGGAAUUUUCAACGAGACUAAUUGUAGGGGAUAUAGACAAUUUUGAUUAUAAAUAUUUGAUCAUCUAUAUAUUCUAUAAAUAUUCUUUGUCGAAUUAGACAUUUAAACAAUUUAAAAUCCGCUUCCGAAAAACCAAAUUUUUAAUCAAUAAAUCACACUUUUCC